rnacentral:rRNA from 1 species
UGGGGAAUAUUGCACAAUGGGGGAAACCCUGAUGCAGCAACGCCGCGUGAGCGAAGAAGGCCUUUGGGUCGUAAAGCUCUGUCCUAAGGGAAGAAGAAGUGACGGUACCUUAGGAGGAAGCCCCGGCUAACUACGUGCCAGCAGCCGCGGUAAUACGUAGGGGGCGAGCGUUAUCCGGAAUUAUUGGGCGUAAAGGGUACGUAGGCGGUUCAGUAAGCAUGAGGUGAAAGGCAAUAGCUUAACUAUUGUAAGCCUUGUGAACUGUUGGACUUGAGUGCAGGAGAGGAAAGCGGAAUUCCUAGUGUAGCGGUGAAAUGCGUAGAUAUUAGGAGGAACACCAGUGGCGAAGGCGGCUUUCUGGACUGUAACUGACGCUGAGGUACGAAAGCGUGGGGAGCAAACAGG